rnacentral:rRNA from 1 species
UACGUAGGGUGCAAGCGUUUAAUCGGAAUUACUGGGCGUAAAGCGUGCGCAGGCGGUUAUGUAAGACAGAUGUGAAAUGCCCGGGCUUAACCUGGGAACUGCAUUUGUGACUGCAUGGCUAGAGUUUGGCAGAGGGGGGGUAGAAUUCCACGUGUAGCAGUGAAAUGCGUAGAUAUGUGGAGGAACACCGAUGGCGAAGGCAGCCCCCUGGGUCAAGACUGACGCUCA